UGGCGGACGGGUGAGUAACGCGUGGGUAACCUGCCUCAUACAGGGGAUAACAGUUAGAAAUGACUGCUAAUACCGCAUAAGACCACGGAGCCGCAUGGCUCAGUGGGAAAAACUCCGGUGGUAUGAGAUGGACCCGCGUCUGAUUAGGUAGUUGGUGGGGCAACGGCCUACCAAGCCAACGAUCAGUAGCCGACCUGAGAGGGUGACCGGCCACAUUGGGACUGAGACACGGCCCAA
rnacentral:rRNA from 1 species